CCGGUCCAAACCGAUGGAAAUGUAGCUAGCUUAGCGUAGGUCUUCCCUGUCUGUUAGCACGAAGAAAGUUCAGCUGGGCGACUGAACUCGGUCGUUGGCUUCGGAAGUUUAACAGGAUGGCUCCAUUGAAGUUUUGUGCGAAUAUUUCGUGGCUGUUCACAGAGCUUCCGGACUUCAGCCAGAGAAUAUUAGCAGCAGCCGCGGCUGGAUUUCAGGCUGUGGAGGCAGCGUGGCUGUACGAUUCGGAUUUACAGGAGCUUCAGAGAGUCAGAAAGGCCACAGGGGUGGAGGUCGUCCUUAUCAACACCCCGCCAGGAGAUAUAAAGGCAGGUGAUCUUGGUCUUGGAGCAGUUCCUGGGAGAGAAGCAGAGUUCAGAGAGGGACUGGAUCUAAGUUUGAAGUAUGCCAGAGCUUUGGACUGUAAGAGGAUUCACCUGAUGGCUGGGAGAGUUCCCGUGGACUCUGACAGAGCGACGGUUGCCAAGGAAAUGGAGGCCGUCUUUGUGCAGAACCUAAAAUAUGCUGCUGAUAUCCUUUCAAAGGAAGGAAUCACUGGACUGAUUGAACCGAUCAACACCAGGAUUACAGACCCCAGGUAUUUUCUGGACUCUCCUCAUCAGGCAUCUGCAAUCCUGGAGAAGGUUGGAAAGCCAAAUAUGAAACUGCAGAUGGACAUCUUUCACUGGCAAAUAAUGGAUGGAAACCUUACACAAAACAUUCAAAAGUAUAUUCCUAUCAUUGGUCACGUCCAGAUUGCUCAGGUUCCCGGCAGAAAUGAGCCCGACAGCGCCGGAGAGCUCAGUUACAGCUACCUGUUCGACACACUGGAAAACAUCGGCUACCAGGGUUAUAUCGGGUGUGAAUACAAGCCGCAAGGCUCCACAGACGAGGGUCUGGGCUGGAUCAGAGAAUACUGGACUCACAGAAAGUGCUGAGACGAGGUGACGGAGCGUAAAGCUGUCAGUGUUGAGCCCGACGGCACUCUACCUGCAGCACCCACCUUUUCCAUUUAACUUGGGCUUUGCACAGACUCCUGUGGAAUACACGUUUUUCUCCUCAUCAUUGGCGGGUUUGUGCCAAUCGUGUGGAUUUGUGCUUCUUUCUUCAUCAGUGCACUCACUUCAUUAACAGCAGUGAUUCAGGAUAGCAAUGUUGUUCUUUAAAAUCAAGUUCAAAUCGUUUUUUUCCAUAAGUUUCUUCGUAGCGUCAGGUGGAAGGAACGUAGGACGCAGCAGGCAGAGCCGCCCGAAGGCUAACAUGAUAAAAUAGUGGAUGAUUGUGACAGGCAGGCUGUAUCCACAUCAAAAUGUAAAAAAUAUAUAUUUAGAGUAGCAGACUGAUGGAGCAAACAAUUAAGAAUUCAUUUUUGUGAAUGAAAAAUUUUGAGUCCUGGUACGGCAUUUUAAAUAUGAAUAACUGCAACAUAAUCACAAUUAAUAAUGAACUAAUGAAUGCUAUAUUUAAAGUUUUGGCAUGUGAGAAAAUGACCUUCAGGGCUGAAAAAUUAAAGUGCUGAAGUGGGUUUUCUUUCUGAGACGUGUAACUGAGAUAUUAGAAAAAUAAACUUUCCUUCGAUGUAAAAUAUUAUUUUCUGAA